rnacentral:misc_RNA from 1 species
GAUGAAGAACGCAGCGAAAUGCGAUAAGUAAUGUGAAUUGCAGAAUUCAGUGAAUCAUCGAAUCUUUGAACGCAUCUUGCGCUCCUUGGUAUUCCUUGGAGCAUGCCUGUUUGAGUAUCAUGAGCAAAUCUCAAAGUCAAUUCCUUUUGUUAAUUCAAUUGGUUUUGCUUUGAACUUGGAGGUCUUGCAGAUUUUCACAGUCUGCUCCUCUUAAAUGCAUUAGCUGGAUCUCAGUAAUUAUGCUUGGUUCCACUCGGCGUGAUAAGUAUCACUCGCUGAGGACACUGUUAAAAAGGUGGCCAGGAAAAUACUGAUUGAACCGCUUCUAACGGUCUAUUAAGUUAGACAAUUACCCUUAAGUUUGAUCUCAAAUCAGGUAGGACUACCCGCUGAACUUAAGCAUAUCAAUAAGCGGAGGA